ACUCAAUGCGAAAGCCUAUCGACCCUAUCGUUCAAAACGCGACGUUUUGAACACUGCAAGGUCUACUGUGGUGUACUUAGUAAAAUGCGUUUGCAGCUCUCAUCAUCGAACAAGGAGAAGGAGAUUUUCAAGAAAGAUUGUGAUAAAUUUUUGAGCAUUGGGUGAUUUAUGUAAAAUGUUGGAGUAGAAGAGAAUGGUGUUAGUACUGGCAAUUGGGAUCUUCACAUCAUUUGCACCGUGGUUUAGCAAGUGAGUACCUGCUAGCGAGAAACUCCUGAGAGAUGCGUAGCAUUGUCGGCCGAGACUUUGGUUCAGGAUGUAAGCAAGCAAAUGCCAAUGUAGCAACCAGAACAACAUCCCGUGCAACCACUCCGCGUG